rnacentral:rRNA from 1 species
CCCCUAGAUGUUCUGGGCCGCACGCGCGCUACACUGAACAGUUCAACAAGUCUUAACCUUGGCCGAUAGGUCUGGGUAAUCUUUGAACGCUGUUCGUGAUUGGGAUAGACCCUUGCAAUUAUGGGUCUUCAACGAGGAAUUCCUAGUAAACGCAAGUCAUCAGCUUGCAUUGAUUACGUCCCUGCCCUUUGUACACACCGCCCGUCGCACCUACCGAUUGAAUGGUCCGGUGAAAUCUCGGGACGGCGGCUUGGUCGCUUGCGUCCGACUGCUGAAACUUGAUUAAACCAUAUCAUUUAGAGGAAGGAAAAGUCGUAACA